AUGGGCACAGAUGUUAGCUCAGGGCCAGUCUUCCUCAGCAAAAAAAAAAAAAAAAAAGAACUAAAAAUAGGAGGGAGGGGAGGAGGGUGUGGGGACCUCUCUCCCCGUCCCCAUAAACCAUCCACGUCCUUUCCCAGCCCUAAGCUCCCCAGGGCACCUGCCUCCCUCAGGUCAAAAGCCAGAGUCUUCUCCGCAGCCCUCAAGACCCCACACGGGCACGCCGGCAUCCACACCCCAGACUCAGUUGUGUGGGCAGCUGUUUCCAGGGGACCAGCCUGGAGGUGGCGCCAUGUGAGCUGCGGAAUUGGGCCGGUCGCUCUCUCCCCACUCGGUUCUCCUGGCGGACGACGCCGUCUGCUCACCGUGGCGUCUCUGGCCGCCGCUCCACCGGGUCAGCGACUCGUCUGUCGUCCCCGCUGCCGUGGCCCCAGGACAGCAGCUGCAUACAGCAGGUGCUCAAUACGCGCUUUCGGGAUGAAUGACUUCACAUCUCCCGCUAGCAUCCUGCACACAGAUGAGCAAACAGGCCCUGCCGGGGCGCCCGCACCCCCAGAGGGGGACAGUGAGGCUCAGAGCCGUGGGGGCUGCUCCAGGGACCCCAGCAGCAGCCAAGCCACUUCCCCCUGUUAUCGUCCCCGGGCGGAAAUCCUGGAGUCUGUCAGGGUGGAGGAGGCGGGAGGGGCCAUGAGGCUCUGGCCCACUGGCCUCGGUUUACCCAUCGGUGCGAUGGGCUUGCUCGGGGCUCCCCACGUGCGAGGCACUCACACGCACCCGUCCCUUCCUCAGUCCUCUCAGGCCCCCGACGCUGGUCUCAGAGAGAGUCUGCAAUGGGCGGCCGUGUCACCACCGACCCCGUCGCAGAUGAGGAAACUGAGGCACAAAGUGGGGUGCCUGGGCCUCCGACACUGAAUCUGGGGGGUUUUCUGGGAAGAUUUUGAGUUUUUCCUAAAUUUUCAGGGUCUCCUGACCCCCCCCUCCCCACCUCCCACACUGCUUGAACCUCCCCUGCUGCUCUGGGCUGCGGGCAGGGGCUGUGCACAUGCUGAGCGCCAGCUGCAUACCCGGCUCAGGCUGAGUGAUGAGCACCGACUGCAUGCAGGUUCUGGGAGCCACUGUCUGUCAUGGGCCUCAGGGCCUCACUCGCAGGGUCGCUCCACAAGCAUCUGGUGAGGCAGUAAGAGGCUCAGCGUCUCUCCCAAGCUGUGUGACCCCAGGAAGGUCACCGGGCCUCUCUGUGCCUCAGCUUCUCCCUCUGUCAGGCGGGGACGUCAGCAGCCCUUGUGCGGAGGGGGAGGGUCGGGGAGGUGAGCAUCAAUAACGAUGAGAGUCGUUAUUCGUUACUCUUAUUUAUGUCAGAACCUCACGGGAGCCAGAACUGACCAUUUCUUGGAGGGGCUGGGACAGGCCCACCCCUUCCCGACACCCACGCGGUCCUGGCUCCCCCCCCGCCACGGCCAGCCCCCCGGGAACCAUUGGUGCCGUUACCUCGCAUUACACAAGCCCCCGAAGAGGCUGGGAAGGAUGCGCCGGAUGCAAGAGGGAGCUUAUCCCAGAGGGAAGGGCGCCCCCAGCUUCAUAACCCAGCCAGGUCGGGCCCUGCACGGAGCAGCAUGCCCGGAGCUGCCGCCCCUGCCGUCCUCCUGGCCUGCACACUGGCCCUGGGAUCCCCAGCUUUUGCAGGUAAGGGGGACAGAGACCAUUUGGGGUCUGAUGGAGCUGUCCAGCUGUGGCUGGGCCAGCAUUGGGUCCCAUUGCAGAUCGUCAGGAGCCAAACCCACUCCCUGGGGGGCUGUGUCCUCUGCACUUGAUAGCUGCUCAGGAAAAGAAAUUCAUGUGACCAUGAGUUCAUGUCCUCAAUAUGUAAAGAGCUCCAACAAAUCAAUAACAAAAGUGUUUAGUAAAGGGAGCU
rnacentral:lncRNA from 1 species